AUACUCUGGUUUCUCCUCAGAUUAUAUAGAUCUUCCGCCUUUUACUAAAGGCAAUGAAGAGG
rnacentral:snRNA from 1 species